rnacentral:rRNA from 1 species
AGUGAACGCUGGCGGCGUGCUUAACACAUGCAAGUCGAACGAGAACGGGUUAUAGCUUGCUAUAAUUGUCAGCUGAGUGGCGCACGGGUGAGUAAUGUAUAGGUAAUAUGCCUCUUACUAAGGGAUAACAAAUGGAAACGUUUGCUAAUACCUUAUACUCCUUAUUAACAUAAGUUAAUAAGGGAAAGAUUUAUUGGUAAGAGAUUAGCCUGUAUUGUAUCAGUUAGUUGGUGGGGUAAUGGCUUACCAAGACUAUGACACAUAACUGGUUUGAGAGGAUGAUCAGUCACGCUGGAACUGAGACACGGUCCAGACUCCUACGGGAGGCAGCAGUGGGGAAUAUUGCACAAUGGACGAAAGUCUGAUGCAGCAACGCCGCGUGGAGGAUGACACAUUUCGGUGCGUAAACUCCUUUUAUAUGAGAAGAUAAUGACGGUAUUAUAUGAAUAAGCACCGGCUAACUCCGUGCCAGCCGCCGCCGUAA